rnacentral:rRNA from 1 species
UACGGAGGGGGCUAGCGUUGUUCGGAUAUACUGGGCGUAAAGCGCACGUAGGCGGCGCGGUAAGUCAGGGGUGAAAUCCCGGAGCUCAACUCCGGAACUGCCCUUGAAACUGCAGUGCUAGAAUCCGGGAGAGGCGAGUGGAAUUCCGAGUGUAGAGGUGAAAUUCGUAGAUAUUCGGAAGAACACCAGUGGCGAAGGCGACUCGCUGGACAGGUAUUGACGCUGAGGUGCGAAAGCGUGGGGAGCAAACAGG